rnacentral:tRNA from 1 species
GGGUCUAUGAUGUAAUGGUAGCAUAUGGGACUUUUAAUCCUUCAGUCAGAGUUCGAAUCUCUGUGGACCCACCA